rnacentral:rRNA from 1 species
GACGAACGCUGGCGGCGUGCUUAACACAUGCAAGUCGAACGGAAAGGCCCUGCUUUUGUGGGGUGCUCGAGUGGCGAACGGGUGAGUAACACGUGAGUAACCUGCCCUUGACUUUGGGAUAACUUCAGGAAACUGGGGCUAAUACCGGAUAGGAGCUCCUGCUGCAUGGUGGGGGUUGGAAAGUUUCGGCGGUUGGGGAUGGACUCGCGGCUUAUCAGCUUGUUGGUGGGGUAGUGGCUUACCAAGGCUUUGACGGGUAGCCGGCCUGAGAGGGUGACCGGCCAAAUUGGGAAUGAGAUACGGCCCAGACCACUACGGGAGGCAGCAGUGGGGAAUAGUGCACAAUGGGCGGAAGCCUGAUGCAGCAACGCCGCGUGCGGGAUGACGGCCUUCAGGUUGUAAACCGCUUUCGCCUGUGACGAAGCGUGAGUGACGGUAAUGGGUAAAGAAGCACCGGCUAACUACGUG